CCCACGGUGCGCGCGCCCCGGCCGGUGGCCGCCCCUCGGCGGGAGCAGGAACGCCAACGUGCGCCCCGUUCUCGCCGCUGGGCGUUGCCGCUUCCCCCGGGCCACCCCAUCGCCCCUUCCGACGCGGGAGCUGGCGCCUGAGCAGCGACGCGGAGCGGGGAAGCGGCGGUGGGGAAAGGGUACCGGGGGGGAGCCCCCAUCCCACGUUCCGCCCCGAGGGAAUGUUCCCGAACAGCCAGCCGCACCCAGCGCCACACUCACGUUACCUUCUUUAUAAAAGUCGUCGGGUCAAAACUGCCCAGAGAAGGAAGCGAACGAAAAACAGGCAAAAUCAUAAAGGAGGAAACUCUGGUCUUUACAUUAGGGCGCCUCUACUUCUGGUUUUCCCCCUGUCUACCACCUCAGCCUUCUGGAGACUCAGUUUCUGCCUUUGGAGGCAUAGACACCACCAUCACCAACCACCACCGCCACCACCACCACGGGAGAGUCUAGUGGAGACUAAAGUGAUACCGUAUUGGAGGGAAGAAUUUAACCUUGGAUUCACCAGGCUGCCAGAAGGAUUCAUUCCUUCCUAACAUGUUGCUUCCUUCCACUAAAGUGUCUUCGACUUCAGUCUUGAAAAGAGUUUUACCCUCCCAUGUCACAGAAUCCUGAUGUUGCCACCCUAGGUAUCACCUCACCCAACACUUUCUUUAAAAAUUUUUUUAUUAUUAUCUAAUAUGCUUUUUCAUUGCCAGCCAGCAUAUUUAUUUUUUUUUUUUUUUAUUUAUUUUUUGCCCCUGGCCUACCUUCCCAACCAUGCAAUGUAACAAUCUAAACCAGAUGAUCUCAAGCUUUUAGUCUCAGGAACAACAUUUUAAAAUAAACACACUUAAAAAUUAUUGAUGAGCCC
rnacentral:lncRNA from 1 species